UGGGGUUGUGGCUCAGUGGUAGAGUUUGCCUAGCAUGUGUAAGGCCCUGGGUUCAAUCCUCAGCACCACAA
rnacentral:tRNA from 1 species